ncrna:unclassified sequences Hairpin-meta2 ribozyme sequence
UAAACGGGUUAUUGUGGCCCGGUGUUGUGUGUGGUACCUGGAAUUGGCUCCAGAGAGGUUGGUAAACAGCAGCUAAAGACAUAGUCUUGACGAGGAGAAAUCCAGGGUAGCUCCCAUCUGAGUACGUCGCAAACCAACGUGCCAAUCCGGAGAAUGGGGUGAAACUCCUCUGAAAUCCGGUGUUGCUUCAUUCCACACGAAGCACAAACAAACUGAAACACUUCAGAGGUUGUUGACCUGGAGGUACAUUAAGUUUGA